rnacentral:rRNA from 1 species
GCUACGGGAGGCAGCAGUGGGGAAUAUUGCACAAUGGGGGAAACCCUGAUGCAGCGACGCCGCGUGAGUGAAGAAGUAUUUCGGUAUGGAAAGCUCUAUCAGCAGGGAAGAAGCAAGACGGUACCUGACUAAGAAGCCCAGGCGAACUACGUGACAGCAGCCGCGGUACUACGUGGGGGGCAAGCGUUAUCCGGAUGUACGGGGUUGAAAGGGAGCGUAGACGGGAUGGCAAGUCUGAAGUGGAAGCCCAGGGCCUAACCCUGGGAGUGAUUUGGAAACUGUUAGACUAGAGUGCUGGAGAGGUAAGUGGAAUUCCUGGUGUAGCGGUGAAAUGCGUAGAUAUUAGGAGGAACACCAGUGGCGAAGGCGGCUUACUGGACAGUAACUGACGUUGAGGCUCGAAAGCGUGGGGAGCAAACAGGAUUAGAUACCCCGGUAGUC